UGGAGCGAGCACGCCAGCGCGAGUAUGGAGGACGCCUCUUAACGUUUGCUGAAUAUGGCGGCGUCCAGAGUCCGUUAUAGAGAAAGAGUUUGUUUAUAUAAUGGAUUACCUUGGUGGAUUUUCAUAUAUUGAACCAUCCCUGCAUUCCUGGAAUGAAGCCUACUUGAUCAUGGUGGAUGAAGUUUUUGAUGUGUUCCUAGACUUGGUUUAACCUCCUGGUGUCAACAUGAGUUCCAGCAUGGAGGACCGUGACUGUGUGGUUUGCUGUGAAGUAAGGAAUGGCAAAGCAGCUGUCAUCCCAGGCACAGGCCACAAGAGCCCCCAUCACCAUCAGCAAAGUCUGGUCUCAAGAGGGAAGCCAAGCAUGUGUCACACAAAAUAGGUCACACUCAAGUUUCCAAAGUCCCCUGGCUGUGCUUGUUAUCAGUUUGUCCUACUGGUGACAGCCGAAGGCACAGCUCAGAUGUCUCAUCUGCAAAAUGGGACACCUGCCCUGCAUUAAGAGAAUCACCCCAAACGUCCCUCCCCAGGGUGCAGCUCACCUCCUGCAGAUCCCAGGCACGCACCGUACAGUCUUUUAAGCCAAAGUCUGCCUCAGGAGUGCUUGCCGAGCAAGCACAGCCUUUGAUCUCCAACUCUCGUAACAAAAAGAAGAAAAAGGAAGACUUAAGUGUAUCUCGUGUGUACAGCAUUAAGCCGGACCAUUUCUCUCUGCCAGUUCUGUGGCUCCUUCCAAGGGAAAGCCCUUGGGUUGUGUAAUCGUGUUUUUCAUUAUUUUAAUGCUCUCUUGGAUUAAGCCCCAAUACUUCAUUACUGCCAUGUUUUGUGUUAAGCACGGUCUAAUAUACUGUUUCAAUUUCUUGGUC
rnacentral:lncRNA from 1 species